UAUUGCACAAUGGGCGCAAGCCUGAUGCAGCAACGCCGCGUGAGGGACGAAGGCCUUCGGGUUGUAAACCUCUUUUAGUAGGGAAGAAGCGACUGGGUUUUCCUGGGAGUGACGGUACCUGCAGAAAAAGCACCGGCUAACUACGUGCCAGCAGCCGCGGUAAUACGUAGGGUGCAAGCGUUGUCCGGAAUUAUUGGGCGUAAAGAGCUCGUAGGCGGUUUGUCGCGUCUGCUGUGAAAACCCGAGGCUCAACCUCGGGCCUGCAGUGGGUACGGGCAGACUAGAGUGCGGUAGGGGAGAUUGGAAUUCCUGGUGUAGCGGUGGAAUGCGCAGAUAUCAGGAGGAACACCAAUGGCGAAGGCAGAUCUCUGGGCCGUAACUGACGCUGAGGAGCGAAAGCAUGGGGAGCGAACAGGAUUAGAUACCCUGGUAGUCCAUGCUGUAAACGUUGGGAACUAGAUGUGGGGACCAUUCCACGGUCUCCGUGUCGCAGCUAACGCAUUAAGUUCCCCGCCUGGGGAGUACGGCCGCAAGGCUAAAACUCAAAGGAAUUGACGGGGGCCCGCACAAGCGGCGGAGCAUGCGGAUUAAUUCGAUGCAACGCGAAGAACCUUACCAAGGCUUGACAUAUACCGGAAACGGCUGGAAACAGUCGCCCCGCAAGGUCGGUAUACAGGUGGUGCAUGGUUGUCGUCAGCUCGUGUCGUGAGAUGUUGGGUUAAGUCCCGCAACGAGCGCAACCCCCGUCCUAUGUUGCCAGCACGUAAUGGUGGGAACUCAUGGGAUACUGCCGGGGUCAACUCGGAGGAAGGUGGGGAUGACGUCAAAUCAUCAUGCCCCUUAUGUCUUGGGCUUCACGCAUGCUACAAUGGCCGGUACAAAGGGCUGCGAUACCGCAAGGUGGAGCGAAUCCCAAAAAGCCGGUCUCAGUUCGGAUUGAGGUCUGCAACUCGACCUUAUGAAGUCGGAGUCGCUAGUAAUCGCAGAUCAGCAACGCUGCGGUGAAUACGUUCCCGGGCCUUGUACACACCG
rnacentral:rRNA from 1 species